UACGAAGGGUGCAAACGUUGCUCGGAAUCAUUGGGCGUAAAGCGCACGUAGGCGGCUUCGCAAGUCGGAUGUGAAAUCCCUCGGCUCAACCAAGGACGUGCAUCCGAAACUGCGAAGCUUGAGUACAGAAGAGGAUCGCGGAAUUCCCGGUGUAGAGGUGAAAUGCGCAGAUAUCAGGAAGAACACCCGUGGCGAAGGCGGCUCUCUGGGACGGUACUGACGCUGAGACGCGAAAGCGUGGGGAGCGAACAGG
rnacentral:rRNA from 1 species